UACAUAAAAAACAAGCGUUGUCCGGAAUUAUUGGGCGUAAAGCGCGCGCAGGCGGUCCUUUAAGUCUGAUGUGGAAUCUUGCGGCUUAACCGCAAGCGGUCAUUGGAAACUGGGGGACUUGAGUACAGAAGAGGAGAGCGGAAUUCCACGUGUAGCGGUGAAAUGCGUAGAUAUGUGGAGGAACACCAGUGGCGAAGGCGGCUCUCUGGUCUGUAACUGACGCUGAGGCGCGAAAGCGUGGAGAGCAAACAGG
rnacentral:misc_RNA from 1 species